AGUGAACGCUGGCGGCAGGCCUAAUACAUGCCAGUCGAACGGCAGCACAGUGGAGCUUGCUCCAUGGGUGGCGAGUGGCGGACGGGUGAGGAAUACAUGGGAAUCUGCCCAGUCGUGGGGGAUAACGUAGGGAAACUUACGCUAAUACCGCAUGCGCCCUUCGGGGGAAAGCCGGGGACCUUCGGGCCUGGCGCGAUUGGAUGAGCCCAUGUUCGAUUAGCUAGUUGGCGGGGUAAAGGCCCACCAAGGCGACGAUCGAUAGCUGGUCUGAGAGGAUGAUCAGCCACACUGGGACUGAGACACGGCCCAGACUCCUACGGGAGGUAGCAGUAGGGAAUAUUGGACAAUGGGCGCAAGCCUGAUCCAGCCAUGCCGCGUGAGUGAAGAAGGCCCUCGGGUUGUAAAGCUCUUUUGUCUGGGAAGAAAAGCAUCGGGCUAAUACCUCGGUGUUCUGACGGUACCGGAAGAAUAAGCACCGGCUAACUUCGUG
rnacentral:rRNA from 1 species